rnacentral:rRNA from 1 species
CCUACGGGUGGCAGCAGUGGGGGAUAUUGCACAAUGGUGGAAACCCUGAUGCAGCGACGCCGCGUGGGUGAAGAAGCGCCUCGGCGCGUAAAGCCCUGUCAGCAGGGAAGAAAAUGACGGUACCUGAAGAAGAAGCACCGGCGAACUACGUGCCAGAAGCCGCGGUAAGACGUAGGGGGCAAGCGUUAUCCGGAUUUACUGGUGGUAAAGGGGGCGAAGACGGCGAUGCAAGCCAGGAGUGAAAGCCCGGGGCCCAACCCCGGGACUGCUCUUGGAACUGCGUGGCUAGAGUGCAGGAGGGGCAUGCGGAAUGCCUGGUGGAGCGGUGAAAUGCGUAGAUAUCAGGAGGAACACCGGUGGCGAAGGCGGCCUGCUGGACUGCAACUGACGUUGAGGCCCGAAAGCGUGGGGAGCAAACAGGAUUAGAUACCCUUGUAGUC